rnacentral:rRNA from 1 species
UACGUAGGGUGCGAGCGUUGUCCGGAAUUACUGGGCGUAAAGAGCUCGUAGGUGGUUUGUCGCGUUGUUCGUGAAAACUCACAGCUCAACUGUGGGCGUGCGGGCGAUACGGGCAGACUGGAGUACUGCAGGGGAGACUGGAAUUCCUGGUGUAGCGGUGGAAUGCGCAGAUAUCGGGAGGAACACCAGUGGCGAAGGCGGCUCUCUGGACAGGUACUGACGCUGAGACGCGAAAGCGUGGGUAGCAAACAGG